rnacentral:rRNA from 2 species
UGUGACCUCAAAUCAGGUAGGACUACCCGCUGAACUUAAGCAUAUCAAUAAGCGGAGGAAAAGAAACUAACAAGGAUUCCCCUAGUAACUGCGAGUGAAGCGGGAAAAGCUCAAAUUUAAAAUCUGGCGGUCUUUUGGCUGUCCGAGUUGUAAUCUAGAGAAGUGUUAUCCGCGCUGG